GGGAGUACGGAGGCGUCGGGAUCAGGUGGCGGCGAUUCGGGUCUCGGUGGGACUGGUUCCUUUAGUGAGGCAACCUCUCGGCAUAUUGAGGGGGGGUUUCGUUGUGCUUUUUGUUCGUCGGGUGACUGGCGGAUGGGAGGUGUGGCGGAGUCUCUUUUUUUUUGUGUCGGGAAUGUCUCGCGGGGGCUGGCUCUAUUGUUAUUCGGUCGUCGUCAUCCCCGGCGAUACCUUCUGCUCUCGCGUCCGUCACGCAGUCUUCUUAGAGGGACAAGCGGCGUCCAGCCGCGUGACAGUGAGCAAUAACAGGUCUGUGAUGCCCUUAGAUGUCCUGGGCCGCACGCGCGCUACACUGAAGGAAUCAGCGUGUUUCACUCUCCCUGUCCGAAAGGACCGGGUAACCGCUGAACCUCCUUCGUGGUUGGGAUUGGGGACUGC
rnacentral:rRNA from 1 species